ACGAACGCUGGCGGCGUGCUUAACACAUGCAAGUCGCACGGAAAGGCCCUGCUUUUGUGGGGUGCUCGAGUGGCGAACGGGUGAGUAACACGUGAGUAACCUGCCCUUGACUUUGGGAUAACUUCAGGAAACUGGGGCUAAUACCGGAUAGGAGCUCCUGCUGCAUGGUGGGGGUUGGAAAGUUUCGGCGGUUGGGGAUGGACUCGCGGCUCUUCAGCUUGUUGGUGGGGUAGUGGCUUACCAAGGCUUUGACGGGUAGCCGGCCUGAGAGGGUGACCGGCCACAUUGGGACUGAGAUACGGCCCAGACUCCUACGGGAGGCAGCAGUGGGGAAUAUUGCACAAUGGGCGGAAGCCUGAUGCAGCAACGCCGCGUGCGGGAUGACGGCCUUCGGGUUGUAAACCGCUUUCGCCUGUGACGAAGCGUGAGUGACGGUAAUGGGUAAAGAAGCACCGGCUAACUACGUG
rnacentral:rRNA from 1 species